rnacentral:rRNA from 1 species
GACGAACGCUGGCGGCGUGCUUAACACAUGCAAGUCGAACGGAAAGGCCUGCUUUCCCUUGUGGAUUGCGGGUACUCGAGUGGCGAACGGGUGAGUAACACGUGAGUGAUCUGCCCCCAACUUGGGUAUAAGCCUGGGAAACUGGGUCUAAUUCCCGAUAGGACUGCAGGGUGGUGCCUGUGGUGGAAAACGAUUUUCUAGUGGUUGGGGAUGAGCUCGCGGCCUAUCAGCUUGUUGGUGGGGUAAUGGCCUACCAAGGCGGCGACGGGUAGCCGGACGGGGAGGGUGGACGGCCACAUUGGGACUGGGACACGGCCCAGACUCCUACGGGAGGCAGCAGUGGGGAAUAAUGCACCAUGGGCGGAAGCCUGAUGCAGCGACGCCGCGUGGGGGAUGACGGCCUUCGGGUUGUCAACUCCUUUCGACCGCGAGGAAGCCACCUGGUUGGACGGGUGGUGACGGUAGUGGUAGAAGAAGCACCGGCUAACUACGUG